AGUAAGCUAAAUUUUGAACGAAUAAAGCGUUGGAGCAGGACGCAAAUAUAUUUUACGGUGUAGAUUUAACAGAAGAUUUUCAUUUUUUUGCUUCGUGAAAAUCUCAUUAAAAUAGCAAGAUUGAGAGACCAUACUUGAAGAGGUCUUUCUGAAUGAUCUGCAGAGAAACAAAGUGCUAGAAAGAAAAGAGGCAUCUUGAGGUCUGCCUUCUUGGAGUUUUCAGUAGUACGUCUCUUCUUUCCACUCUUUUAGGAAGACAUCAAGAAUGAUCACAUGAAUGUGAACACAGGGGAGAUUUGAUUUGGUGUCCACAUCUACAAAUACAGAGGGAGAAAAAAAUGGAAAGAAAAAGCCUCCCCUGAGAAGAAAGGGAGUGAUCCCAUUAUAAAUGAGAGUCAUACAUCCUUUCUGGAGGCGUGUUGAAAUUUCCCAUGGGAGGAAGAAGAAUAAACAAAGAGUGCUGCAGCUUUUUUUUUCCAGCAGUUCAAAUCUAUGUGCUAGCUUUGGACAGCAGACAGAAGACCGUGUUAUGGCAAACAUGACUUUCUCAA